rnacentral:lncRNA from 1 species
CGGGUACGUGGGUCCUUUUAGCGAAAAACUGACAUCCCUCGCAGUGUCGAACCAGUUUUUCUGCGUCGUUGACCGCGGUUGGCCAAUAAAAACCUGCUCGGAAGGCUUUUUCGACCAAUGUUCUGGAUGCGGCGUGAUUGCCGCAGGAUCCAGCAUGUAUGUCUUCUAGGAGCUUAAUACCAUCAUCUUGGGAUAUGCAUUUGAGCAGUACCUCAGAGCUUGUGUUCUUUCGCCUGAGUUUGCCGUCGACCAGGAUGUAAUUCUUUGACCGUCGAAUGAGGCGCUCGUUGUUGGGUAUUUUAAACGCAAAUAGAAAAAUCCGCAAGCGUACGGAUACCGAUGUAGCUUUCACCCGGGAGUAUUCCAGAGUAUCGAUUUUCCACAGAGAACGUGAGUGUACUAAUUAAGAAUCAAGAUCGCCCAAGCAUAACUAUAUAAUUAUUUUUGGUGGGAAGAGAGGAAGUUUCCUGAGAGUUCUCUAGUUGAUCUAAGAAUCAAGAAUUACUUCAAGAUUAUCUAUAUCGGGACAUCAGAGCACUAACCACAGAAAGAGAUGAGAAGGGGGCUAGGA